CGACCUGGGGAUCGAGCUGGAGGGGUCUCGGGAGCGUGCAAAGACCUCUAGCUCGAGCGCGAGGGACCGCUCGCCAGGAUGCCUGGAGAGCAGAUGGACCCUACUGGAAGUCAGUUGGAUUCAGAUUUCUCUCAGCAAGACACUCCUUGCCUGAUAAUUGAAGAUUCUCAGCCUGAAAGCCAGGUUCUUGAAGAUGAUUCUGGUUCUCACUUCAGUAUGCUAUCUCGACACCUUCCUAAUCUGCAGAUGCACAAAGAGAACCCUGUGUUGGAUGUUGUGUCCAAUCCAGAACAAACAGCUGCAGAAGAACAAGGAGACAGUAAUAGGGGGUUCAAUGAACAUUUGAAAGAAAACAAGGCUGCAGACCCUGUGGAUUCUCAUUUGGAUACAUGUGGUUCCAUCAGUCAGGUCAUUGAGCAGUUACCUCAGCCAAACAGGACAAGCAGUGUCUUGGGAAAGUCAGUGGAAUCUGCUCCUGCUGUGGGGGAUGAGAAGGAGGAAGAGUUGGAAGAAAAGGAGAAAGAGGAGGUGGAAGAAGGUCCAGACGAUGCUGUACCCUCCCUCAAUGCAGAAGAUCCUGCCUCAUCACAGUUGGGCUUUGGGGUUCUGGAACUCUCCCAGAGCCAGGAUAUUGAAGAACAUCCUGUGCCAUUUGAAGUGGACAAAGAGCAUCUGCAGCCAGUUACCAGCAACUCUGGUGACACUAGGCUGUCUGAUAUGGAUGCAGAUACUGUUAAGGAUGAAGAACUGUCCAGUGAAGAUAUCCCCAUGGCAGAACAGCCCAGCAAAAACAUCCCCAUGACAGCACAGCCCAGUAAAAGUGUGCAUGUGGUAGAAGAACAAGAGCUACCACCUGCAAGGUCAGAAGACAUGCCUUCCAGUCCCAAAGUGUCUCUUGUUCCUGUGGAAACAAAAGAACAGAUGUGUGCGCAAGAGCUUCUGGAAGGUGGACUGCAGAUUCAGAAGUCCUCAGAGCCUGAGGUUUUGUCAACUCAGGAAGACUUAUUUGACCAGAGCAAUAAAACAGCUUCUGAUGGUUGUUCUACUCCUUCAAGGGAAGAAGGUGGGUGUUCUGUGGCUUCCACACCUGCUACCACCCUCCACCUCCUCCAGCUGUCUGGUCAGAGGUCCCUUGUUCAGGAGAGUCUUUCCACGAAUUCGUCAGAUCUUGUUGCUCCUUCCCCUGAUGUUUUCCGGUCUACCCCUUUUAUCGUUCCUAGCAGUCCCACAGAAGAAGAUGGGAGAAAAGAUGAACCAAUGGAUAUGUCAGUAUUAUCUGAAGCAGGAGGUGAGCCUUUUCAACAGAAGCUUCAAAGUAAUGAAACAGUAGAAAUAGAAAACCCACCUCUCCCAGCUGGGCCCACCAUAUCACCACAAGCCUCAACACCAGUGUCUCAGAGCACACCAGUCUUCACUCCUGGGUUGCUUUCUAUCCCAUCCCAGCCUGAGUUUUCUCAUGAUAUUUUCAUUCCAUCACCAAGUUUGGAAGAACGACCAAACGAUGGGAAGAAAGUGAAGAUUUGCAUAGCUCAUCCUUCACUGUUGAGUGUUCUAAAACUGCAGAGAUUGAACCAAAGAAUUCCUCUGGGAUCUUGGGCUCUCUUUGACAGGGGAUUCUUGCAAGUUGAUGCUUUCUACAAGUGAGUAUAGUCAGUCCCCAAAGAUGGAGAGCUUGAGUUCUCAUAGGAUGGAUGAAGAUGGAGAAAACACUCAGAUUGAGGAUACUGAACCCUUGUCUCCAGUUCUCAAUUCUCAGCUUGUUCCUGCUGAAAAUGAUGGUGUCUUAAUGAAUCCAGCACAACAUGGCCAAGUAGAACUGAGUCAGAAUGAUGACAAAACAAAAGGAGAUGACACAGAAAGUAGAGAUGACAUUAGUAUUUUAGCCACUGGUUGCAAAGGCAGAGAAGAAACUGUAGCAGAUGAUGUCUGUAUUGAUCUCACUUGUGAUUCAGGGAGUCAGGCAGUUCCUUCUCCAGCUACUCGAUCUGAGGCUCUUUCUAGUGUCUUAGAUCAGGAGGAAGCUAUGGAAAUUAAAGAACACCAUCCAGAGGAGGGUCUUCAGGGUCUGAGAUUAGAAGAAAUCCCUGAGACUCCUUGUGAAAAGUCAUGGAGAGGAGUCAAAAGAAGAAAGUUUGGAGAGUGUUCCAUUGCAUCUUUCUUUGACUGAAACUCAAUCCAGGGCUGUGUCUUCGAAAGGACAUCCCCAAACAAGAAUGCCCAGAGGCUAUGGAAGUUGAAACCAGUGUAAUCAGUAUCACUUCUCCCCAGAAGCUUCCAUACUUGACCAAGAAUUAGAACACAAGGAUCCAGAAGCUUGGGAAGAAGCUACUUCAGAGGAUUCAAGUGUUGUCAUUGUAGAUGUGAAGGUGCCAUCUCCUAGAGGUGAUGUUUCUUGUGAACCUUUGAAGGAGUGGAGAAAGGCUCAGAUUCCCAGUCGUGGGAGGAUGUUGCUCCAGAAUAGAACCAUGUGCUGAAGAAUAGACUAGAUCCCAGGAAGAAAAGAAUAUAGAUUAUGAGGGAAAUCUGAAAUCGUGACAGUGGAAACGGAAUCCGUAGAGGAAAAUGCUCCACAGCGUCCCUUGCCUGAAGCGAGAGCAGAGAACCUCCCAUACCUGACCAGGAGAUGCAGCAGCCCCAGCUGCAGGAGAAAGCAGAGAACUCAUUAACAGAAGACUUAAAAGUGGCCAAUGCCACACAGCUGGACUCAGGUGUAGCAGCCCAGCAGCUGGAGAAGGUCCCUGCCCGUGUCUCACAAAGCUUCUGUGAAAGCUCUAGUG